rnacentral:lncRNA from 1 species
UGGGAUAGACAUUGAAGAACUCUAAGCUUGUCUAUAACACUAUCCCUGAAGAAACAAGGGGUAAUAUUGGAAUAAAGAAAUAAAAAAAAAAGUUUUGAAGAAGUGGCAGAAAGGUUCUUAGAGGCACUCUCUUGUCCUGUGGUCCGCAACUACUACUACUACUACUGAUUGCAACUGUUCAUUAGUCACAAGCAAACACGGACACCACUUCAACCUUUCUUUCUUUUUUUCUUUAUUAGUAUUAAUAAUGCUGUUACAAGAGAAACAUCAACAACCCAUGUUUUUGUUCAAGGAAUUGGAAUUCAAUUUCUCAUUUAGUCCAUCUAGUAAUUUACUAGUUUUACUAAAUAUUAUAAAUUUGAAAUAUAACUUUGAAUGUUUUUAUCUGUUUGUUAUAUUUUUUUUUAACAUAGGAAUUUAAAAAUAAUUUAAAAAAUGUUUUAAAUUAAAAAAUCUUUUUAGUAAUUUCGAAAAAAAACAUUUUUUAUAACAAUUUUUAAUAAAAAUAAUAAUAAAUUCAAAAUGAUUUAUGUUUUUCUUAAAAUCUAAAAAAUAUAAUUUUUAAAUUAUUAAAUACUAGAAUAAUUUUUUUUUUUUAUAACCGGGCCCUUUAUCAGCUACUAUGAUAUCAAUUAGUUUAUCACUAAUGAUCUAUUAUUUGAUUUUUCAUACAAGCCUAUAUAUAUUAACUCCUCUAAAAGCAUUUUACUGUAAUUAGCUUCACUGGGAUAGACAUUGAAGAACUCUAAGCUUGUCUAUAACACUAUCCCUGAAGAAACAAGGGGUAAUAUUGGAAUAAAGAAAUAAAAAAAAAAGUUUUGAAGAAGUGGCAGAAAGGUUCUUAGAGGCACUCUCUUGUCCUGUGGUCCGCAACUACUACUACUACUACUGAUUGCAACUGUUCAUUAGUCACAAGCAAACACGGACACCACUUCAACCUUUCUUUCUUUUUUUCUUUAUUAGUAUUAAUAAUGCUGUUACAAGAGAAACAUCAACAACCCAUGUUUUUGUUCAAGGAAUUGGAAUUCAAUUUCAAC